rnacentral:rRNA from 1 species
UCACACCUGUUCCCAUGCCGAACACAGAAGUUAAGCUUCUCAGCGCCGAUGGUAGUUGGGGCUUUGCCCCUGCGAGAGUAGGACGCCGCCAGGC